GCCUGGCUGCCUCAGUCGGUAGAGCGGGAGACUCUUGAUCUCGGGGUCGUGAGUUCGAGCCCCGCGCUGGGUA
rnacentral:tRNA from 1 species